UGCGUAGGCGGGCUAAUAAGUCAGUGGUGAAAUCUCUCGGCUCAACCGGGAAACUGCCAUUGAUACUGUUAGUCUUGAGUUCGGUUGAGGUAGGCGGAAUGUGUAAUGUAGCGGUGAAACGCUUAGAUAUUACACAGAACACCAAUUGCGUAGGCAGCUUACUAGACCGACACUGACGCUGAGGCACGAAAGCGUGGGGAGCGAACAGGAUUAGAUACCCUGGUAGUCC
rnacentral:rRNA from 1 species